GUGAAUGUUUUAAGACACACACAGGUGUCUCUGGGACAACCAAGUAAAGUGCAACAGGCAGAUGGAUUGAAGAGUUUGGCUAAAGAUAAGGAUUUAGGAACUGCUGAAUUGAAAUUACCCAAGCGUGAGAAGUGGUGUUAUGAUUAAGAGAAAAAAAAAAUGGAGGUCUGAGGAAUAACAUUAAAGGAAUAAAUGAAAAGGCAAAAAAAGGGGGCGGGGGGGUGGUUCAGGAGUGAGCAAAAUGUAAGAAAUCAAGGGAAUAAAUCUUUAAAGUAGGGGUUGUCAAAAAUCUCAAUUACAGAAAAAAAGUCAAGUAAUAGCUUGUGAAUUAAACUGUGGAUUUAGAAUUAAGAUUUUAGACUUCACAGGAAGGGACUGUUAACUACAGAGCCAAAUGGCAGAUUUUAGUUAAGGAGCCAGUGGAAGGUGACAAAGUAGAGGUAAGAAUAUUCCUUCAAAAAGAUUGGCGGUUAAAAAAAAAGAGGCCAGGCUCAGUGGCUCACGCCUGUAAUCCCAGCACUUUGGGAGGCCAAGGUGGGAGAAUGGCGUGAACCUGGGAGGCAGAGCUUGCAGUGAGCCGAGA
rnacentral:antisense_RNA from 1 species